UGGGGAAUCUUGCGCAAUGGGCGAAAGCCUGACGCAGCAACGCCGCGUGGGGGAUGAAGGCUUUCGGGUUGUAAACCCCUUUCAGCAGGGACGAAUCAAGACGGUACCUGCAGAAGAAGCCCCGGCUAACUACGUGCCAGCAGCCGCGGUAACACGUAGGGGGCAAGCGUUGUCCGGAUUUAUUGGGCGUAAAGAGCUCGUAGGCGGCUCGAUAAGUCGGGUGUCAAAUCCUCAGGCUCAACCUGGGGCA
rnacentral:rRNA from 1 species